GCUAAUUUCAGUCAGGUGUUGUGUUGAUGAGAAAUGACACUUUGUAGACUUGCUGCAAGCUGUUUGUUGCUCCUUGUAUUGUAUUCUAUCUGAUGAAGUUCAGCAUGAAAACAUCAACACUUCAGCUCAAGGUUUUUACAGUGACUGGAGAUGCAAUGAGUGACUCCACAUAGAAAGUGUCCCAUAGGACUCCAAACACUUGAGGGAGGGAAGGAGGUGUUCCAUUUGGGUUGACAUGACCGGACAUAACAAUGAAGGAGCUUAUGAAGAGCGACGGGCGACCCUAAAAGGGCAAGUGACAGCAACACGAUACCACACUUAAAUAAGCAUGCAAAGUCUGUCACACGCACAGUUCAUGCAUUUAGCAAGCAUCUCCCGUAAUUCCUUGCGAGCGUCGAUACAUUUGUUCAGAUGUCCCCCAUUUGUUCUUGUCAUCCUCUAUUUGGCAAAGUGGGUUCUAGAUUAGUGUGGCAUUAAAUAACUAUGUAUUCUCCACCCCGAGCCAAACCACUGUCCUCUGAGAUGCUGCAGGACGUGUCCAUGUAUAGCUAACAGCACCGCUCUAUUAGGCCAAAAACAAAUAGUCCGCCGUCAUGUGGCAUUAUCGCUGUGGCUACUGCAUUUAUAGGUCCUAAGGCUCUCACAGCUGGCUGUGCAGUGCUAUUACUAUACCAUGUAACACAAAAACAGUAUAUUUCUGUAUCUAUAUUUUUCCAAUCACAUGACAAAGACUUGUGCUGAAAAUAAAUGGAGCUCAACCAAUACUUUACAAUAGCUCUUUGUGGGUAAGCUGUGCUGGCCUCAUUCAUUCAUUCAUUCAUUUGUGUGUUUAUGCAAUUAUUUGUGCUUCUAUUUUAGCAUUUAUGUAUAAAUUUAUUUAUGAAUUUGUUUGUGCAUUUAUUUAUUAUGUAUUUAUUUGUGCUAUUUUGGCAUUUAUUUCUGAAUUUAUUUAUGCAUUCAUUCAGUCAUUCAUGCAUUAAUGCAUUUAUUUUGUGCAUUUAUGCAUUAUUUGUGCUUCUAUUUUGCCAUUUAUAAAUUUAUUUGUGCAUUCAUUCAUGCAUUUAUGCAAUCAUUUUUUUUUUUUUUUUUUUUUGUGGUUCUAUUUUGCCAUUUGUUUAUGAAUUUAUUUGUGCGUUCAUUCAUUCAGUCAGUCAUCCAUGCAUUCAUGCAUUUAUUCUUUUAUUUGUGCUUCUAUUUUGGCAUUUAUUUAUGAAUCUAUUUAUGUAUUUAUUCAUGCAUUCAUUCAUGCAUUUAUUGGUGCUUCUAUUUGGGCAUUUAUUUAUUAAUUUAUUUGUGCAUUUAUUUAUUAAUUGUGCAUUCAGUCAGUCAUACAUGCUUUAAUGCAUUUAUUUGUGCUUCUAUUUUGGCAUUUAUUGAUUCAUUUAUUUGUGAAUUUAUUUGUUUAUUCAUUCAUUUAUGCAUGCAUGCAUUAUUUGUUAUGCAUGCUUUUAUUAUGCAUUUAUUUGUGCUUCUAUUUGGGCAUUUAUUUAUUUAUACAUUUAUUUAUGAAUUUUUGUGCAUUCAUUCAUUCAUUAAUGCAUUUAUUUGUGCAUUUUAAGAAUUUAUUUGUUUCUACUGGCAUUUGUUUAUUUAUGCAUUUAUGAAUUCAUUCAUUCAUUCAUUCAUUCAUUCAUUCAUUUGUGCAUUUAUUUAUUAUUCAUUCGCUCAUUAAUUUAUGCAUGCAUUUGUCUGUGCUUCUAUUUUGGCAUUUAUGUACGCAUUUAUGUAUGAAUUUGCACAUUCAUUUAUUCAUCCUGCAUUUGUGCAUUUAUGCAUUCAUUUUUUUUUUUUCUACAUG